rnacentral:rRNA from 1 species
UAAGACGUAGGGCGCGAGCGUUGUCCGGAUUUAUUGGGCGUAAAGAGCUCGUAGGCGGCUUGUCGCGUCGGCUGUGAAAUCCCGUGGCUCAACUGUGGGCGGGCAGCUGAUACGGGCAGGCUGGAGUUCGGUAGGGGAGACUGGAAUUCCUGGUGUAGCGGUGAAAUGCGCAGAUAUCAGGAGGAACACCGGUGGCGAAGGCGGGUCUCUGGGCCGAUACUGACGCUGAGGAGCGAAAGCGUGGGGAGCGAACAGGAUUAGAUACCCUGGUAGUCCACGCUGUAAACGUUGGGCGCUAGGUGUGGGGUGCCUCUCCGGUGUCCUGUGCCGUAGCUAACGCAUUAAGCGCCCCGCCUGGGGAGUACGGCCGCAAGGCUA